rnacentral:snRNA from 1 species
GUUAUCUCUAGAGACAUUCGAUAAAAUUGGAAGGAUAGGGGGAAUAUUAGCAUGGACCCUGCACAAGGAUGACACAUUUGGUAAUGAUAAUAAAUUUCAU